CGGCGGACGGGUGAGUAACACGUGGAUAACCUACCUAUAAGACUGGGAUAACUUCGGGAAACCGGAGCUAAUACCGGAUAAUAUAUUGAACCGCAUGGUUCAAUAGUGAAAGACGGUUUUGCUGUCACUUAUAGAUGGACCCGCGCUGCAUUAGCUAGUUGGUAAGGUAACGGCUUACCAAGGCAACGAUGCGUAGCCGACCUGAGAGGGUGAUCGGCCACACUGGAACUGAGACACGGUCCAGACUCCUACGGGAGGCAGCAGCC
rnacentral:rRNA from 1 species